rnacentral:rRNA from 1 species
GAUGAACGCUGGCGGCGUGCCUAAUACAUGCAAGUCGGGCGAACGGACGAGAAGCUUGCUUCUCUGAUGUUAGCGGCGGACGGGUGAGUAACACGUGGAUAACCUACCUAUAAGACUGGGAUAACUUCGGGAAACCGUAGCUAAUACCGGAUAAUAUUUUGAACCGCAUGGUUCAAAAGUGAAAGACGGUCUUGCUGUCACUUAUAGAUGGAUCCGCGCUGCAUUAGCUAGUUGGUAAGGUAACGGCUUACCAAGGCAACGAUGCAUAGCCGACCUGAGAGGGUGAUCGGCCACACUGGAACUGAGACACGGUCCAGACUCCUACGGGAGGCCGCAGUAGGGAAUCUUCCGCAAUGGGCGAAAGCCUGACGGAGCAACGCCGCGUGAGUGAUGAAGGUCUUCGGAUCGUAAAACUCUGUUAUUAGGGAAGAACAUAUGUGUAAGUAACUGUGCACAUCUUGACGGUACCUAAUCAGAAAGCCACGGCUAACUACGUG